UCCUCAGGAAUUCCUCCUGGAAUCCCUCCUGAAACCCUCCGGAAUUCCAGCUGGAAUCCCUCCCAGGAUCCUUGGGAAUCCCUCCUGAAACCCUCCGGAAUUCCAGCUGGAAUCUCUCACAGGAUCCUCAGGAAUCCUUCCUUGGAAUCCCUCAGAAUCCCAGCUGGAAUCCCUCACUGGAUCCUUGAAAAUCCUCCCUGGAAUCCUCAGGAAUCCUGGUUGGAAUCCCCUGUGGAGUCCCCAGGAAUCCUGUCUGGGUUUCCCCCUGGAAUCCUCAGGAAUCUCCCCUGGAAUCCCUACUGGGAUUCCCUGGGAAUUGCUCCUCGAGUCCUUGGAAUCCC
rnacentral:lncRNA from 1 species